rnacentral:rRNA from 1 species
GAUGAACGCUGGCGGCGUGCCUAAUACAUGCAAGUCGAGCGAACAGAUGAGGAGCUUGCUCCUCUGACGUUAGCGGCGGACGGGUGAGUAGCACGUGGAUAACCUACCUAUAAGACUGGGAUAACUUCGGGAAACCGGAGCUAAUACCGGAUAAUAUAUUGAACCGCAUGGUUCAAUAGUGAAAGACGGUUUUGCUGUCACUUAUAGAUGGAUCCGCGCCGCAUUAGCUAGUUGGUAAGGUAACGGCUUACCAAGGCAACGAUGCGUAGCCGACCUGAGAGGGUGAUCGGCCACACUGGAACUGGGACACGGUCCAGACUCCUACGGGAGGCAGCAGUAGGGAAUCUUCCGCAAUGGGCGAAAGCCUGACGGAGCAACGCCGCGUGAGUGAUGAAGGUCUUCGGAUCGUAAAACUCUGUUAUUAGGGAAGAACAAAUGUGUAAGUAACUAUGCACGUCUUGACGGUACCUAAUCAGAAAGCCACGGCUAACUACGUG